UUAACACAUGCAAGUCGAACGGUAACAGGAAACAGCUUGCUGUUUCGCUGACGAGUGGCGGACGGGUGAGUAAUGUCUGGGAAUCUGCCUGAUGGAGGGGGAUAACUACUGGAAACGGUAGCUAAUACCGCAUAACGUCGCAAGACCAAAGAGGGGGACCUUCGGGCCUCUUGCCAUCGGAUGUGCCCAGAUGGGAUUAGCUAGUAGGUGGGGUAACGGCUCACCAAGGCGACGAUCCCUAGCUGGUCUGAGAGGAUGACCAGCCACACUGGAACUGAGACACGGUCCAGACUCCUACGGGAGGCAGCAGUGGGGAAUAUUGCACAAUGGGCGCAAGCCUGAUGCAGCCAUGCCGCGUGUAUGAAGAAGGCCUUCGGGUUGUAAAGUACUUUCAGCGGGGAGGAAGGGAGUAAAGUUAAUACCUUUGCUCAUUGACGUUACCCGCAGAAGAAGCACCGGCUAACUCCGUGCCAGCAGCCGCGGUAAUACGGAGGGUGCAAGCGUUAAUCGGAAUUACUGGGCGUAAAGCGCACGCAGGCGGUUUGUUAAGUCAGAUGUGAAAUCCCCGGGCUCAACCUGGGAACUGCAUCUGAUACUGGCAAGCUUGAGUCUCGUAGAGGGGGGUAGAAUUCCAGGUGUAGCGGUGAAAUGCGUAGAGA
rnacentral:rRNA from 1 species